rnacentral:rRNA from 1 species
AGGACGAACGCUGGCGGCAGGCCUAACACAUGCAAGUCGAACGCACCGCAAGGUGAGUGGCAGACGGGUGAGUAACGCGUGGGAACCUACCCUUUGGUACGGAACAUACCAGGGAAACCUGGGGUAAUACCGUAUAAGCCCUUCGGGGGAAAGAUUUAUCGCCAUUGGAUGGGCCCGCGUCGGAUUAGCUAGUUGGUGAGGUAACGGCUCACCAAGGCGACGAUCCGUAGCUGGUCUGAGAGGACGAUCAGCCACACUGGGACUGAGACACGGCCCAGACUCCUACGGGAGGCAGCAGUGGGGAAUAUUGGUCAAUGGGCGAAAGCCUGAACCAGCCAUGCCGCGUGAGUGAUGAAGGCCUUAGAGUUGUAAAGCUCUUUCGACGGGGAAGAUAAUGACGGUACCGUAGAAGAAGCCCGGCUAACUUCGUGCCAGCAGCCGC